GACGAACGCUGGCGGCGUGCCUAAUACAUGCAAGUCGAGCGGACUGAUUAAGAGCUUGCUCUUAUGACGUUAGCGGCGGACGGGUGAGUAACACGUGGGCAACCUGCCCUGUAGAUCGGGAUAACACCGAGGAAUCGGUGCUAAUACCGGGUAAUAUCUGAGAUCACAUGAUCUUAGGUUAAAAGAUGGCUCCGGCUAUCACUACAGGAUGGGCCCGCGGCGCAUUAGCUAGUUGGUAAGGUAAUGGCUUACCAAGGCGACGAUGCGUAGCCGACCUGAGAGGGUGAUCGGCCCCCCUGGGACUGGGACACGCCCCAGACUCCUACGGGGGGCAGCAGUAGGGAAUCUUCCGCAAUGGCCGAAAGUCUGACGGAGCAACCCCGCGUGAGUGAGGAAGGUUUUCGGCUCGUAAAGCUCUGUUUUUAGGGAAGAAACAGUACCCAACGAACUAGGUCGGUCCCUUGACGGUACCUAACCAAAAAGCCCCGGCUAACUCCGU
rnacentral:rRNA from 1 species